CUCAAUACGCCACUGUUGAUAAUACUGCUGCAGUGCAAUUUAGCAUUUUUUUCGACUUGCUAAACAAUAAGAAAACACAGAAAAAUGCACCAAAGAAUUUUAAAGCCUUUUAAAAUAAGAUGCAGGGGUAUAACUCCAGAAGAAAAAAGUGUGCGUUAAUUUUGAGCAGGAGUUUAUAUUCUUGUGUUUUUCAUCGGUCAAUUGAACGCAACUACAUUCACAAAAAGAGAUCGCUACAGCCAAAAAGUAUCGACUUUAUUCAUGGUAUAAAAAGACAAGGUAUGAUCAUUAGAGCCGCCAUCUUACAAAAUGGGGUAAUAAGGUUUUGACGUUUGGCAUUUGGCAAAGUCAAAAGCAACAACAAUUUCCAAGACCAAUUUGUUUACAACAACAACUUCAAUGGGCUGGGCUGUCAAAACCUUAAGUAGCCAUAAGUUUUGACAGUUCUCGAUACUCAGCCCUAUCGGCAAAAGAGUUUCCCUGGAAAAAUUUCUCUUGUCCGAAAAAUCGGUAUCGGCAAUAAUUUUUGAAUGGAAAAACUUCCUAGGAGAGAUUUCCCCUAUAAAAAUACCUAUCGGCAAUGAAGUUUCUCCCCCGAAGUAUUUCUAUCAUAUUUUUUAUAGGGAACAGAUUUUUUGAAGCCAAAAUGCAACAAAAAGGAAAUGCAACUGGAUGACGCAAAAAGAGUAUAUAAAAAAUAAAACAUAAGAAAACCUUAAAAAAAGCAUGGAACUGUAGAAGACCAUUCCGAGAGUAUGUAAUAGUCUUCUGCUUUGGACGAAAAAAAUUAUCAAAAUCUGUGGAAUGCCUCAAUUUAUUUUAGUUAUUUGCUUAUCACGUCAAAAAACAAAGAUUAAGAAACCACAGAUGAAGAGCUGUGAUUCUUUAAUUAAAAUAACAAACACUAAACUAAUUACAUGUCCAUAUGAAGAAACAGAG